GUGCGGCGCAGACGGUCGCCCAAUGGAGUUGUCUUUCAGGAGGUUUUAACUUGGUAAUGCCUGCCCUCCUCAAAUGUCCUUAGUCUCCUCAACUCUAGCCCUCCACCGCUUUCUCCCUGGGGUUCUGAAGAGCCGGCGCCCCCUUGUCUGUCUGCGGCCAGGCGCCGCACCCUGCCCUUCCCGCGGGAGCGGUUCCGGUCACCCUCAGGGGUGCGGCCCCUGCGUGCUAGUCCUGCAAAGCGCUGAUUGGCCGGCGGCUCGGUUGCCUCGCGUCCCAGCGCCAGCUGGGCCUAGGGCCAAGGUCUCGGGAAGCGCCGGGUGACCUCGCUCCUCUCGGAGCCGCGGGCGCUGGGUCACCCGCCAGCCGGGCUCCGCGGGCCGCGAGGGAUUGUGGGUGUUCCCCAGGCGCGUGUCCUGGAACCGGGUGUUAAAUAUUCAGAUCCGUGCGCCCCGCGUGAAGGGUGGAAAGGCACGGCCCCCAGGCUCUGGGGCUUGGAGAUUGGUUGCAAAUGAAAGACUGAAAGCUGGAGUGAAUCUGCCUAUUAUUUUUAUUCCCAGCAACAGCUGACCCCAGAUACAGUUUGUGGGGGUGGGGGGCGUUACUGCAGGGCAGGGCAGUGCACUGUUAACGUACUUCGUUUAUUGAGUUAAAAUCUCUUGUAAAUGUUAUAAAUGAGGAUUUUGCCAAUAAGCAGAAGGUCAAAUUUCAUUUUGACAAAUGAUUUAAUUAAAUAAUGCGGUGAAAAGUGCUUUUUGUUUAAAUUCUUUGCUUUUUGUUUAAAUUCUUUGAUUCUGAUCAUUAUUUUUUAAAGUGCAUUGCUUUUGGGAUAACAUCAGAAACUAUCUGUAAAAAGAAUUAGUAUCACGAAUGCCUCCCUCUUAAGAAUAUAAAAUGUUUUACAGGCCAGCAGUGAUGGUGCUGCAGCUACAAUUGCAUUUGAAGGUUAAUAAAUGGUAUUUUCAAAUAUUCAGGUCUUGGUUUGCAGCUCCUCUCUGCCCUCAGGGCUUUGGUCUCUGUCUUCAAUGUUUUCCUGGCAAUUCAAAACUCAGCGAUUUUAGAACAAUUCAUUAGGGACUUGAAAAUCACAGUCUAGUCUAUUUGAAUUCAAGAAGUGGAUCCCUUUCCGCUAGACUCACCCAUCAUUUUCAAGUGGUAAAAAAUCAAUCUCAGUAGACACUGCAGAGAAACAGGAAAAGAAACACAUGUAUCAACAUUGUAUACUUGGUUUUUUUGUUUUGUUUUGUUGUUGAGACGGAGUCUCGCUCUGUCGCCCAGGCUGGAGUGCAGUGGUGCUAUCUUGGUUCACUGCAACCUCCGCCUCCCAGGUUCAAGCGAUUCUCCUGCCUCAGCCUCCCGAGCAGUUGGGACUACAGGCAUGCGCCACCAUUCCCAGCUAAUUUUUGUAUUAGUAGAGAUGGGGUUUCACCAUGUUGGCCAUGCUGGUCUCGAACUCCUGACCUCAUGAUCCACCCGUCUCGGCUUCCCAAAGUGCUGGGACUACAGGGGUGAGCCACUGCGCCCAGCCUCCAAUCGCUAUCCUUUUAAAUCUUUUCCAUCCCUCACUCACACCUUAGAUGAUACCUUAACUUUCUGGUCCAUUUGAGUUACCAAAAAUCAGACCGUGUUAAAGUGUCGAUCUCAUGUCUCAAGUGGGACCCUAAAUCCCUUAGUGUGAGUGGGAAGGUGCAAAGCGUGGUUCUGGCAUGCAGACACUUCUCAACGUACCUCUGCAAGGCCUGGCUUCUGUGUUGAGAUAAGGAAGAGGAGAGAAAAUGAGACAAAUAUCUCUUAACUAGCCACUGCUGAAUUUUCUUAGUUGAUUCCUGCCUCUCUGGUAACUGUCUCGUUUAAAAUUCCUUUCGUGGGGUACAGAUGGGGAGGUCGGGUGGGGCCUUCUCCCUGCCGCACAGUUCCAUGGGAGAUCUUUUCCAUCACCCGCCCCCGCCGCCGUCAGCACCGGGCAGUACACUCAGCCUCUCAGGCAAGAUCACUCAGGACCAUUUAUCUUCCGCAUAGGAAGAAUUUGACCCAGGAGAAAUACACAUCUUUGCCACACAAAAGGGCUGGACUGAAGACCACCCCGUGGCUACUCCUCUCUCCCCUGCUAUAUCCCUCUUCAAUUUUGUUGUUCCCCCUUGCCAUACAGACAGGGAUAAGUCAGCAAGAGUGCUGGAGGAACAGAUCUGCAGGCAACAGAUAGAAUACCAGACUCCCCUUCCAGCAGGCCCUCUGAUACCUUGGAGAGAUUGUCCUAUGUCCUUCCCAGCUACAUCACUUCCCACCAGAAACACCGUCCUCCGCAAUACCGACUGCCUCCUUUCAUUCCUUCCCCUGCCUUCCUGUAUAGAUUGAGGAGAGGACUGGGGAAGUAUUUGGUGGAAGCGGGGCCAGAUCUGCAGCUUUUUAUUAAGCCCUGGGGGAAGUGGCCCCAAUUAUAGGCAUCUUUCAUUAGGAGAUGGAGUACUAUGCCUGUAGUUUUCCAUUGUGAGCCUAGUGCCAAUUCUGGGACAAUAGUAGAGGUCCCACUAAACAUCUUUAAGUGGGUGCUAUGAUUCUCUGCGCAGACUCUUCCUGCAGGACUGGAGGACAUGUUCCCUGAGCUGCUAGGAGUAUUGGUCUCAACAGUUUUCAGCUAAGUCACUCUUCAAAGCUUGGCUUUAAUGAAGAAAACUGCCUUGCCCAAGGUCAUUCCCCCUUCUAGGGGGCAGCCCACACUUGACAAUUAAUCCAUUUAGGAUAUAGAGGCCUCUCCGUUGUUCCAGUUUAGGACAACUCUGAAGGACCAUUCCAUAUUCAAAACUCCCAGUAUUAGUUAAAUACUGAUGUGUAGCAAAUUACUCCAAUCUGUAGUAGCUUUAAAUAACAAACGUCUCAUUAUGUCUGCGAGUUGGGAACUCAGGAGCAGCUUCCCUGGGUGUUCCUGGCUCAAGGUGUCAGAUUCUUGCAGUUGUCUGAAGGCCUGUUGUCGGCUGGAAGAUCCAGUUCCAAGAUGGCUCCCUCACAUGGCUGAGGUUGGGAGCACUCACUUCCACUCCACAGGCUGCUUGAGAAGCCUCACAGUAUGGCAGCUAGCUUCUCCCAGACCAGUCAAUCAAGAGAGAGUGCAAUUAGGGAGCUGCAAUGCCCUGUGAGGCCAAGUAUCUGAAGGACAUCUACUUUUCUUCUCUUCAUCAGAAGACAGUCACUAAAUCCCACUAAUUCCAUUUGGGAAGGGGAAUUUAGCUCUACCUAUGGAAGGGAGGGUCAAAGAAUUUGAGGACAUAUUUUAAACCACUACGCUCCGCAUUGAAUCCUGCUUCCUACACCCAAACCCUGUGCGCCUGUUGAUCCUGAGAGCAUCUCCCCAAUAAACUUCCUGCAUGUUAAAUCUCCAUCUCGUAUUCUGCCUUCUGGCAACCUAACCUCAACAAUCCAGUUAUGCUAGUUUCAUAAUAACCCUCAUAAUAACCCUCAAGACACUCUUGUGAUACAGGAAAAAUUACUAUUUCCUCACCUUACAAAAGGGAAGACAGGCACAGAAAGAUUAAUGUACUUGCCCAAGGUCAUAGAGCAACUAAGUGGCAGCCACCAAUUCUGACUCCAGAGUUCAUAUAGGCAAUUGCUGAUCAAUGCGCUACAUACAUGCACACAACAAACGCCUGGGUGCAUAACAAUGGGGGGCUCAUGAUCUUAAUCAAAAGACUGGACAAAAGACUGCCAAUCAAAUGGGAAAAUCCAGCAGAGGUGCAAUGUCAUAGUCAAAGGCAAUCUUAAAGAGAGGAAUGGGGGGUCAUUGUAUCAACUGAUGGUGAAGAUAGAAUAUUAAAACUAUUGCAGAAUAGUAUAAUGCUUUAGUUUGCUACGGCUGCCACAACGAAGUACCACAAACUGGGUGGCUUCAAACAACAGAAAUUUAUUCUUUCACUCUUCUGGAGGCUGCAAGUUCAAAAUCAAGAUGUCAGCAGGGUUGUUCUUCUGAGGACGGUGAGGAAAGAAUCUGUUCCAGUUCUCUCUCCUUGGCUUUUAGGUGGCCCUCUUAUGUCUCCUCACUCUAUCUUUAAAAAAUGUGUCUUCAUGGCUGGGCACAGUGGCUCACACCUGUAAUCCCAGCACUUUGGGAGGUCAAGGCAGGAGGAUCCCUUGAGCCCAGGAGUUCGAGACUAGCCUGGGCAACAUGGCGAAACCCCCCAUCUCUACAAAAAUAUAAAAAUUAGCUGGAUGUGGUGACGCAUGCCUGUAGUCCCAGCUACUUGGGAAGCUGAGGUGGGAGGAUCGCUUGAGCCUGGGAGGCAGAGGUUGCAGUGAGCCAAGAUCAUGUCACUGCACUCUGGCCUGGGCGACAGAGCGAGACCCUGUCUCAAAAAAUAAAAUAAAAUGUAUCUUCAUGUUCACGUGAUGUUCUUUCUGUAUCAAUGUCUGACUCCAAACUUGCCCUUUUUCUAAAUACACCAGUCAUCUUGUAUUAAGGUCCACUAAUGACCCCCUUUUAACUUGAUUACCUUUGUAAAGACCCUACUUCCAAAUACCGUCACAUUCUGAAGUACCAAGGGCUAGGACCUUAAUUUGGCAGGGAAACAAUUCAACCCAGAACACCAUCCUCAUAGAUGGGAUUAGUGCCCUAUAAAAGGAAUGGAAGGGAGCUAGCUAGUCCUUUUGCCCUUCUGUCCCUUCUGCCAAGAGAGGACAUGGCAUUUGUCCCUUCUGGAGGACUCAGCAUUCAAGGCGCCAUCUUGGAAGCAGAGUGGAACCAGACACAACGUGCUGGUACCUUGUUCUUAAACUUCCCAGUCUUCGGAACUAUGAGAAAUGAACUUCUAUUGUUUAGAAAUUACCCACUCUGUGGUAUUUUGUUAUAACAGCAUGAAUGGACUGAGACAAUUGCAUGUAUGGCCACUAAGAACAUCUCAAUGUUGAUUAUGUACAAGUUUGAUUAAGGAUGUCCUGGAUACCUUAACUACCACAACUUACACCACUUGGCAGUUAAGACACACUUUCUCAAAUAACAAAAUGUGAAGCAUUCUUUGUAAACAAACACAUAAAAAUACAAUAUUUGUUUUUUAUAAACAAUAUAUAUGAAAUUUAU
rnacentral:lncRNA from 1 species